rnacentral:snRNA from 1 species
AGAAUUAUCUUGAUCAAUA